rnacentral:rRNA from 2 species
GCUGAAAGCAUCUAAGCACGAAACUUGCCCCGAGAUGAGUUCUCCCUGAGACUUAGAGUCUCCUGAAGGAACGUUGAAGACGACGACGUUGAUAGGCCGGGUGUGUAAGCGCAGCGAUGCGUUGAGCUAACCGGUACUAAUGAACCGUGAGGCUUAACCUUACAACGCCGAAG